rnacentral:lncRNA from 1 species
CGACCCAUCCAAUGGGUCAACACGCGGAUCCCCCCCCAUUUUGGGACGACGUCGUUUCAAGUAAAGGUUUUAAAACCUUAUUUCCUUCUUUUCAAAUGCAGCCACCCUUUCAACCCUAAUUUCAAACCUAAAAUCAAUUUGCUGAAACCCAUUCCAGUGACUGCCAAUCCACCAUUUUAUUUGGUGGCCGACAAUGCUCGAGCAGCGACCCGAUCCCACCGGCGAACGCGCCAAGCGAGGAAACCUGGUAUGCUACUUUAUUUUCCCUUUUAAAAAAAAACCUAGAUCUAAUGUUGUUUAAUCAAGAAAGAUGAAACCGAAUAUAAGAAGAACACUUAGUAUCAUCCGACCCUCGUCCCUAUCUCAAUAUUUUUGAGAUAUUCGGGACUUCAUUGGUAUCGUCUCCAAUAUUUCUUUCUAAAAUCGCAAGUAAAUGAGAAGAAGAAAAAAAAUUAGAUAGACUUGAAAAUAACCUUUUCUGAUUUGUGAUUUCUUGUUUUUUUCUUUUUUUUUUGUUAUAGAUGUGUGUUCAUCCCCCAAAUACAAUCGAUUUUCUUGGCUUUAUAGUCGAAAAGAAAGAGGAAAACAAAUCAAAAUACAAUAUGUGAUUUCUUUGUUUGUAUUUGCUGCUGCGCUUGCCUGUUUCCUUUGCAGGUACGGGUGUGUUGGCAUCGUACAAAGGCUGUGCUGGCGCUUGGCGUGAGGAGUACGGAGGCGUGCUGGCGCUUGGGAGGUUGCUGUUGCGGCGCAGGAGAAGGAAAGGAACCCUAGGGUUUCUAAAAUUUCUGGGCCAUUUGGGCUCGUUUCGGGUAUUGGGUCAGUCAUUGGGCCAUGGGGUUUUAGUUAUUGGGUCUAGGUUAUGUAGUUGGGUUUGUAACUUGGGACUUGGACUUUAUAUUUGGUUUUAUUUAUUUGUUUUUAAUUUUGAUUUUUUGGUUGUUGGGUCCGGGCAGAAUUUGGGCCUUACAAUAUUUAUUUAAUCCAUUAAGCAAACCGUCCACCAUAAUAUAAAUAAAGUCUAAUUAUCCUUUAAAGCUCUCCAUUCAAGCUUUUAUAACUAUUUAGCACAAAUAACCCACUAGCAAUUAAAUUUUUGUAGUUUUUAUGAUUUAGUCUUU